AGGACAAACGCUGGCGGCGUACCUAAGACAUGCAAGUCGAACGGAGCUUCCAGCUUCGGCUGGGAGUCGAGUGGCGAACGGGUGAGUAACACGUAGGAACCUAUCAUCGAGUGGGGGAUACCGCUGGGAAACCGGCGUUAAGACCGCAUGAGGUCCCCGAGCAAUCGGGGAGCAAAGCUGGAAACGGCGCUGGAUGAGGGGCCUGCGGCCGAUUAGCUGGUUGGUGGGGUAACGGCCUACCAAGGCGACCAUCGGUAGCUGGUCUGAGAGGAUGGUCAGCCACACUGGGACUGAGACACGGCCCAGACUCCUACGGGAGGCAGCAGUUAGGAAAGUUUCACAAUGGGGGAAACCCUGAUGGAGCAACGCCGCGUGCAGGAGGACGCUUUUCGGAGUGUAAACUGCUUUUCUCGAGGAAGAACCGGACGGUACUCGAGGAAGAAGCCCCGGCUAACUACGUGCCAGCAGCCGC
rnacentral:rRNA from 1 species